ACUAUGUUACUUAACACAGCCACACAAAGCAAAGAUGCAGAGGAUUCAAACUAUGAAAAUGUUGAUAGUUUCCGAAAUAACCACAGUGGCAUGAAUGAAUCAACAUAUGUGAACAUGAGACUUCCAAAUGGCAGAAAAAACAGGGAAUAAGGACAACCGAGCAGACAAAGGUCACCUGUUCUGAAUUGAGGAAGUGAUCCUGCACAUCAAUAAAUACUUCAAGUCCAACAUACACUGAUUAAGCAUGCAUAACCUAUAUAAUUCAACAUUUCUGCAAUCAACAUCAUGGAUAUAUGGAUAUUUGUAAAUAUUAUUGAAAAAAAUAUAACACAGAAUAUUAUGUUAAUGACACAAUGAUGUUAUAGAGAACUACAGAAGAUGUAUUGUCUGA